AGAGUUUGAUCCUGGCUCAGAACGGACGCUGGCGGCAGGCUUAACACAUGCAAGUCGAGCGAAGGCUUCGGCCUUAGCGGCGGACGGGUGAGUAACACGUGGGAACGUGCCCUUCACUGCGGGAUAGUCCCUGGAAACGGGGUUUAAUACCGCAUACGCCCUUCGGGGGAAAGAAUUUCGGUGAAGGAUCGGCCCGCGUCUGAUUAGGUAGUUGGUGGGGUAACGGCCUACCAAGCCGACGAUCAGUAGCUGGUUUUAGAGGAUGAUCAGCCACACUGGGACUGAGACACGGCCCAGACUCCUACGGGAGGCAGCAGUGGGGAAUCUUAGACAAUGGGCGCAAGCCUGAUCUAGCCAUGCCGCGUGAGUGAUGAAGGCCUUAGGGUCGUAAAGCUCUUUCGCCAGGGAAGAUAAUGACGGUACCUGGUAAAGAAACCCCGGCUAACUCCGUGCCAGCAGCCGCGGUAAUACGGAGGGGGUUAGCGUUGUUCGGAAUUACUGGGCGUAAAGCGCGCGUAGGCGGACUGGAAAGUUGGGGGUGAAAUCCCGGGGCUCAACCUCGGAACUGCCUCCAAAACUGUCAGUCUGGAGUUCGAGAGAGGUGAGUGGGAAUUCCGAGUGUA
rnacentral:rRNA from 1 species